rnacentral:rRNA from 1 species
CCUACGGGAGGCAGCAGUGAGGAAUAUUGGUCAAUGGGCGCGAGCCUGAACCAGCCAAGUCGCGUGAGGGAAGACGGUCCUAUGGAUUGUAAACCUCUUUUGUCGGGGAGCAAAAGACGCCACGUGUGGCGUUCCGAGAGUACCCGAAGAAAAAGCAUUGGCUAACUCCGUGCCAGCAGUCGCGGUAAUACGGAGGAUGCGAGCGUUAGCCGGCUUUAUUGGGUUUAAAGGUUGCGCAGGCGGAAGAUCAAGUCAGCGGUAAAAUUGAGAGGCUCAACCUCGUCGAGCCGUUGAAACUGGUAUUCUUGAGUGAGCGAGAAGUAUGCGGAAGGCGUGGUGUAGCGGGGAAAUGCAUAGAUAUCACGCAGAACUCCGAUUGCGAAGGCAGCAUACCGGCGCUCAACUGACGCUCAUGCACGAAAGUGUGGGUAUCGAACAGGAUGAGAUACCCCAGUAGUC